UGGGGGAUAACGUUCGGAAACGGACGCUAAUACCGCAUACGUCCUACGGGAGAAAGCAGGGGACCUUCGGGCCUUGCGCUAUCAGAUGAGCCUAGGUCGGAUUAGCUAGUUGGUGGGGUAAUGGCUCACCAAGGCGACGAUCCGUAACUGGUCUGAGAGGAUGAUCAGUCACACUGGAACUGAGACACGGUCCAGACUCCUACGGGAGGCAGCAGUGGGGAAUAUUGGACAAUGGGCGAAAGCCUGAUCCAGCCAUGCCGCGUGUGUGAAGAAGGUCUUCGGAUUGUAAAGCACUUUAAGUUGGGAGGAAGGGCUGUUACCUAAUACGUGAUGGUUUUGACGUUACCGACAGAAUAAGCACCGGCUAACUCUGUGCCAGCAGCCGCGGUAAUACAGAGGGUGCAAGCGUUAAUCGGAAUUACUGGGCGUAAAGCGCGCGUAGGUGGUUUGUUAAGUUGGAUGUGAAAUCCCCGGGCUCAACCUGGGAACUGCAUUCAAAACUGACUGACUAGAGUAUGGUAGAGGGUGGUGGAAUUUCCUGUGUAGCGGUGAAAUGCGUA
rnacentral:rRNA from 1 species